UUGAAAUAAUUUUAUUAUUAAAAGUUUUAAUUUUUAAUUAUUUAAAAAAAAAAAUUUAAUUUUAUUAUAAAUAAGAAAAAAUUAAAUUUAUAAUAGUUAAUAGUAUUGUGAAAGAAUUUUUAAAUUAUAGGAAAGAAAAAUUCACUUUUUGUACCUUGUGUAUCAGGGUUUAUUAAAUUUAAUUAUAAAUUUAUUAUUCUCGAAUUUAAAAGAGCUAAAUAAUAAUAAUUUUUAUUGUAGAAUAAAUAUAUUUAAUUUUUAUUUAGUAAUGAAAUGUUAUUCGUUUUUAAUUAUAUCUAGUUAUUUAAGAAAAAAAUUUAAUUUUAAUAUUAUUAAUAUUUAUUUUUAUGUUUAAUUUAAUAUUAGUAAUUGUAAAUAUUUUUAGGGAUUAGCUUAAAAAUAGAUUUUUAUUAAAAAAUGUUUUUGUAUAUAAUUUAGGAUUAGAAAUUUUCAAAAUUUAAAGUGGGUUAUACUUUAAUUUAUAUGAAUAUAUAAUUUAUAUUUUUUAUAAGUUUUUUAUUAAAUUUUAAAUUUUAAUUUAUUAAAUUUAGUAAUAAUGAUAAAAUUAGUAUAAAAUAUUAAAAUAAUAAAAUUUUAUUUUAGGUUAAUUAAAGGAAUUCGGCAAAUAUAAUUUUCACCUGUUUAUUAAAAACAUGUCCUUAAAGAUUAUAAUUUAAGGUCUUACCUGCCCACUGAAGUUUUAAAUGGCCGCGAUAUUUUGAUCGUGCUAAGGUAGCAUAAUCAUUAGUUUUUUAAUUAAAAGCUAGAAUGAAGGGUUGGAUGAAAAAUUUUCUGUCUCUAUAUUAAUUUUAUUAGAAAUUUAUUUUUAAGUUAAAAAGCUUAAAUAUUUUUAAAAGACGAGAAGACCCUAUAGAGUUUAAUAUAAUAGUUUUAUUUAUUUUUUUAGGAUUUAAUUUAUAAAUUAAUAUUUAUAUUUAAUUGGGGUGAUUAAAAAAUUUAAUAAACUUUAAUUUUAUAUUUAUAUAAAUUUAUAAUUUUAUGAUCCAAUUAUUUUGAUUAUAAGAUAAAAUUACCUUAGGGAUAACAGCGUAAUUUUACUAGAGAGUUCAAAUUGAAAGUAAAGAUUGCGACCUCGAUGUUGGAUUAAAAUUUGUAUUUGGUGUAGAAGUUAAAAUACUAAGUCUGUUCGACUUUUAAAAUUUUACAUGAUCUGAGUUUAAACCGGUGUAAGCCAGGUUGGUUUCUAUCUUUAAUUUAGUAAUAUAUUUUAGUACGAAAGGACCAAAUAUA
rnacentral:rRNA from 1 species